rnacentral:lncRNA from 1 species
GUAGCUUUGGCCCAUUCUGGUCCUCUGCUGCUGCUGCAUCAAUAGGAAACUACUGCAGAGUUUGGUACCUGGAACUGGAGAGCAGGACUGUGCCUAGCUUGUCCCCGAAGCGUCGGGAGGUGCAGUAUACCAGAAUCAGCAGCUUGAAAGAUACCGUGUUCACACAUUCUGCCGGAAUGUCACAUUUGAUAUGGCCACUGGACACGCUUGACUUCUUCUUUAUUUAUGAUUUCUGGCGCUUUUCCUUUGAGGCCGCUCAGAAUAGCUUCUGAUCCUGCUCGCUCACAGAAACGGUGAAAUCAAAUCUUCCUGUGCUUGCCCCAUCGGAGGCCAGUUUGCUUAUGUAAGCUACUCCCGCCCUCGCUGAGUAACUGGAUGGUGAGAGCAGAGCCCCGGACAGAUUUCAAAUGAGGCUGUCUUCACAUAAACGUCUUUGACUCGCGUACUAUUCUUCUGGUAAAUUGCUUUUGUUUCCAGAAACCUCGUCGCAAUCGAUACAAGUUGUGUGCGUGCUACGGGAGACCACAUUUGAGCCAUUGGCUGAUCACUAAUCUCUUUAUUCCCCUUUAAAUGUUUUUGGUCUUUCCCUCGGUAAUAUUCAAAUCAAUGUCCUGACUUAUUUAUUCUUUGGGAGUCUCAGUAUCUCCCUCAG